GGGAUGCACCAGGUCCUCUGCAGGUGCUUCCAAUAGAUGCCGCAAGCUGCCCUCACGAGCAGCAGCUGCUGGGGAGCAGGAGAUUAUUUAGGUGGGCUUCCAGGGGGCCCUGUAACCGUAGGGUUGAGCUUGGGUGGUGCUGCUGGUGGGUGUUUGCUGCCUUUAGAUGGGGGCUCCUGUCCUGGCUCUCUCUGUCAGGUUCGCCAUGCGUUGUGAGCAGAGAAGAGCCAAGGCGUUGGACACUGUCAAUGAAUCUGUGUUGCAACAGAAGCCACUUCUGUCUGCGUGCACAGCUGCUACACUUCUAACCCAGCUGUCAGCCAAAAUGCAGAGAGAAGCAAACACUGGUCCAGAUUCAGUUUCUUCCUUACACCCCUGGAAGUUUUUGAGGAAUUCCAUUUUGCAUGUGCAUUUCUAGUUUAUAAUAAUCUAGCCAAGCAGAAUUUGGCCUUGUAGCUGAAACUGGUCCAGCGCAUUCCUAUGCUGAAGAUGACUUCAAUAAUGAAAAUCUGUCUUGCAAAUGACUCAUUGUAAGAAGACUGUGCUGAAGAUGUUGAAAAUCAGGAUGAUGCAUGUGAAAAUGAAAUUAAUCAAUAUGAAGAUGAGGAUCAGCAGUCUAUCACAGCAGAACUGUUUGAUAAUAAUGAAACUGAGGAAACAGGCACUGCUAGGGAAACACAUGAAAUUGCAAGAAAUGUCAGUGAUAAUAAUGAAUUAGUAGCUAUUUCCAGAAACAGAAGAGACUGAGUCUGCAGACAAAGAAAGUUGUGAUACCUGCAACAGUUU
rnacentral:lncRNA from 1 species